AGUGGCGGACGGGUGAGUAACGCGUGAGAAUCUGCCUUCAGGUCGGGGACAACAGAGGGAAACUUCUGCUAAUCCCGGAUGAGCCUUAGGGUAAAAAAUUUAUUGCCUGGAGAUGAGCUCGCGUCUGAUUAGCUAGUUGGUAAGAUAAAAGCUUACCAAGGCAACGAUCAGUAGCUGGUCUGAGAGGAUGAGCAGCCACACUGGGACUGAGACACGGCCCAGACUCCUACGGGAGGCAGCAGUGGGGAAUUUUCCGCAAUGGGCGAAAGCCUGACGGAGCAAGACCGCGUGGGGGAGGAAGGCUCUAGGGUUGUAAACCCCUUUUCUUUGGGAAGAACAAAAUGACGGUACCAAAGGAAUCAGCCUCGGCUAACUCCGUGCCAGCAGCCGCGGUAAUACGGAGGAGGCAAGCGUUAUCCGGAAUGAUUGGGCGUAAAGCGUCCGCAGGUGGCAAUGUAAGUCUGCUGUCAAAACCCAGGGCUCAACUCUGGUCAGGCAGUGGAAACUACAUAGCUAGAGUUCGGUAGGGGCAAAGGGAAUUCCCGGUGUAGCGGUGAAAUGCGUAGAGAUCGGGAAGAACAUCGGUGGCGAAAGCGCUUUGCUAGACCGAAACUGACACUCAGGGACGAAAGCUAGGGGAGCGAAUGGGAUUAGAUACCCC
rnacentral:rRNA from 1 species